ensembl:snRNA U6 U6 spliceosomal RNA
GGACCAUGUGGUACAUGUACUAAAAUUGGAACGAUGCAGAGAAGAUUAGCAUGGCCCUUGCUCAAGGAUGACCUGCAAAUCUAUGAAAUACUAAAAAAUAUA